rnacentral:tRNA from 1 species
UCUCUGAUAGCUCAGUUGGUAAGGAAUCUGCCUGCAAUGCAGGAGACCCUGGUUCAAUUCCUGGGUUGGGAA